UACGUAGGGUGCAAGCGUUAAUCGGAAUUACUGGGCGUAAAGCGUGCGCAGGCGGUUAUGCAAGACAGAUGUGAAAUCCCCGGGCUCAACCUGGGAACUGCAUUUGUGACUGCAUGACUAGAGUACGGCAGAGGGGGAUGGAAUUCCGCGUGUAGCAGUGAAAUGCGUAGAUAUGCGGAGGAACACCGAUGGCGAAGGCAAUCCCUGGGCCUGUACUGACGCUCAUGCACGAAAGCGUGGGGAGCAAACAGG
rnacentral:rRNA from 1 species